GACGAACGCUGGCGGCGUGCUUAACACAUGCAAGUCGAACGAGUGGCGAACGGGUGAGUAAUGUAUGGGGAUCUGCCUGCUGGCGGGGGAUAACUACUGGAAACGGUAGCUAAUACCGCCUACCAUCAGAUGAACCCAUAUGGGAUUAGCUAGUAGGUAAGGUAACGGCUUACCUAGGCGACGAUCCCUAGCUGGUCUGAGAGGAUGAUCAGCCAAACUGGGACUGAGACACGGCCCAGACUCCUACGGGAGGCAGAAGGGGGGAAUAUUGCACAAGGGGCGCAAGCCUGAUGCAGCCAGGCCGCGUGUAUGAAGAAGGCCUUCGGGUUGUAAAGUACUUUCAGUCGGGAGGCGGUACCGACAGAAGAAGCACCGGCUAACUCCGUGCCAGCAGCCGCGGUAAUUC
rnacentral:rRNA from 1 species